UGUCAACUCAGCAAUAUAUUAGAAUCUCAUAAUAAAUAUACUAUAAUUAAAAUACAGUACAACAUUCUCUUUUUAAUUAUAUAUAACUUUUAUCAAUAUUUUAUAUGCCACUACAGUGGCAGUUGAAUCAAUAGAAUUGCAUGAAGGUAAUUUCAUUUUCGGUAUUAUUUUGUGAUUUUGUGAUUUCAUAUUUUAAGAAACUUUUCAUAGUUCCUAU
rnacentral:lncRNA from 1 species